rnacentral:rRNA from 1 species
AGUGAACGCUGGCGGUAGGCCUAACACAUGCAAGUCGAACGGCAGCACAGUAAGAGCUUGCUCUUACGGGUGGCGAGUGGCGGACGGGUGAUGAAUACAUCGGAAUCUACUUUUUCGUGGGGGAUAACGUAGGGAAACUUACGCUAAUACCGCAUACGACCUACGGGUGAAAGCAGGGGAUCUUCGGACCUUGCGCGAUUGAAUGAGCCGAUGUCGGAUUAGCUAGUUGGCGGGGUAAAGGCCCACCAAGGCGACGAUCCGUAGCUGGUCUGAGAGGAUGAUCAGCCACACUGGAACUGAGACACGGUCCAGCCUACUACGGGAGGCAGCAGUGGGGAAUAUUGGACAAUGGGCGCAAGCCUGAUCCAGCCAUACCGCGUGGGUGAAGAAGGCCUUCGGGUUGUAAAGACCUUUUGUUGGGAAAGAAAAGCAGCAGGUUAAUACCCCGCUGUUCUGACGGUACCCAAAGAAUAAGCACCGGCUAACUUCGUG